GUUGUAUGGUUAAGUGACUAAGCGUACACGGUGGAUGCCUUGGCAGUCAGAGGCGAUGAAGGACGUAUUAACUUGCGAUAAGCCCAGAUUAGGUAGUAAAAACCAUUUGAGUCUGGGAUUUCCGAAUGGGGAAACCCACU
rnacentral:rRNA from 1 species